CCUACGGGUGGCAGCAGUCGAGAAUCAUUCACAAUGGGGGAAACCCUGAUGGUGCGACGCCGCGUGGGGGAAUGAAGGUCUUCGGAUUGUAAACCCCUGUCAUGUGGGAGCAAAUUAAAAAGAUAGUACCACAAGAGGAAGAGACGGCUAACUCUGUGCCAGCAGCCGCGGUAAUACAGAGGUCUCAAGCGUUGUUCGGAAUCACUGGGCGUAAAGCGUGCGUAGGCUGUUUCGUAAGUCGUGUGUGAAAGGCGCGGGCUCAACCCGCGGACGGCACAUGAUACUGCGGGACUGGAGUGAUGGAGAGGGAACCGGAAUUCUCGGUGUAGCAGUGAAAUGCGUAGAUAUCGAGAGGAACACUCGUGGCGAAGGCGGGUUCCUGGACAUUAACUGACGCUGAGGCACGAAGGCCAGGGGAGCGAAAGGGAUUAGAUACCCGGGUAGUC
rnacentral:rRNA from 1 species